GGGGGUGACAUUGGUUUCGACGGGGUUAUUAGUUCUUUGAACUGCGCACCGUGUUCUCCGUAGACACGUUAAACGACGGUAAAAAAACUAAAUGGCGAAUAUAAUUACGCUCUUGCUGCUUAAUUAAAAAAGCAGCCGUUCAUUAAUUCUUCUCGUAUCGGGAAUUUCUGAACGCCGUUAGAUACGAUAGCCAAAUUGAGUUCUCGAGUAAAUGAGGCGAACUUUUUUCGAGAUAGUUCCAUUUCUAGUUUUUCUAUCAACUAAAAUGGAAUGAAUAAAAAAAGAUAGAAUAUGUGUGUAGACGUUCACUGAAAUGUAGCUUCGGACCCGGGUUCGACUCCCGGCACCUCCACU
rnacentral:tmRNA from 1 species